UCCGGUUUGUCACCGGCAGUCUGGCGUGAGUCCCCAACUUAAUGCUGGCAACACGCCACGGGGGUUGCGCUCGUUGCGGGACUUAACCCAACAUCUCACGACACGAGCUGACGACAGCCAUGCAGCAUCUGUGGUGCACCCUCGAAGGUCACACGUUUCCGUGCGCUUGCAGCACCAUGUCAAGCCCAGGUAAGGUUCUUCGCGUUGCAUCGAAUUAAAGAACAUACUCCACCGCUUGUGCGGGCCCCCGUCAAUUUCUUUGAGUUUUAAUCUUGCGACCGUAAUCCCCAGGCGGAACACUUACCGCGUUAGCUGCGACACCGAGAGGGUAAGAACUCCCGACAUCUAGUGUUCAUCGUUUACGGCGUGGACUAC
rnacentral:misc_RNA from 1 species